AUAGCCAAAACCUGCGCUUGAUUUUCCCCAAUUUUCAGACAAUCGUCCACAAAAUAUUUGAGACAAACCCCCUCCCCCGAUUUCAAUGUUGUUAGGCACUACAAUAUAGUUUAAUUUCAACAUCAUAUGUUAAAUUUCAACUGCCAGUGACACAGUUGCGAUGCUAGUGUCACCUUAUGUUCGUUUUGGACAAGUACAGUAGGUUUCAACAUUGAAAUAAGGGGGGAGGGGAUCGAUUUAAAAAGUCUCAAUAUAUUUUGUGGACGAUUGUCUUAAAAAUUGAUAAGACUUAGUUAAUAGCAUCCCGAAGUUUUUUUGAAAUCACUUUGUGUGCAUGUGUAGUAGUCACUGUAGAUGAUACUAUUGGGGUUAUUGUUCACACGUAGAAUAGUACAGUGCUACCAAGUUGACCAGGGGGGGGAGAUAUAAAAGAUAUGGGGGGAGAUCCAAGAAAUAUCACUAUAUGUUUGGUAGACGAUUAUAUUAGAAAUUAAGAAAACUUAGAUGGCAGCAGCUCGAAGUUAUUUGAAAUAAUGUUAUGUGCGGCACAAUAGCUGUGGGCGGGGUGGGGGGAGGGGGGGGGAGGAGAAUAUAGUGGGGGCAAGUAUUAAAUAUUUAAGGAAUUUUUGUGAAGUAAAAGAAGCGUCUUACUAUUCACUAUAAUUUGGAUAGUAUUGUUAGGGCCAUACAAAGAUCUCUACGUUAUAUAAUGGUUCCAUAUCAAGUCUUCUUCUGAGCCGGAUGGGUUGGGGGGGUGGGGAGGGGAGGGAUGUCGAAUACAUCCUUGGAUCGGUCCGUUAAGUUAGAGAUUUAACCGUGCAUAGUUCUUAGAUAAAGUCCUAUAACUUCACAUGGAUUAAUAAUACUUUAGUUACUCAAGUUAAUUAAUGGAUAAUUGAAUGUUGAUGAAACUAUAAGCAUUUUUUAAUUAAUUUUUGAUUACUUGGUGGGGUCAAAGAUUUAAUUUAUUCAAGUUACCAUAAACUAAUGUUUAAUAUGGCUAAUUUGAAAUAUAAAUUACUAAAGCAACGUGUUACCACGCAUUGCCACAUGCGUUUCCAUGUACCAACCGUUUUAUAAUAUGGCUUUUCUAUUACGAACAGAACACAUUACCACGCGUUACCACGCGUUACCAUACGCGUUACCAU
rnacentral:lncRNA from 1 species